GUUGCAAAUGUCGUGGCUGAAACAUGUUGGUUAUGGCAGCUUCUUCAGGAACUUCAUCGACCGGUGACUGGUGCCACUGUGGUGUUUUGUGACAAUGUGAGCUCUGUUUACAUGACACAGAAUCCCGUUCAUCAUCAGCGCACCAAGCAUGUGGAGAUCGAUUUACACUUUGUGCGAGACCGUGUCACCACAGGCGAGGUCCGGGUUCUUCACGUUUCGAGUUCUUCUCAAUUUGCGGACAUUUUCACCAAAGGAUUGCCAUCUCCUCUCUUUUUGGAUUUUCGGGACAGUCUUAACAUUCGCCGACGCCCGUUUACGACUGAGGGAGGGUGUUAG
rnacentral:rRNA from 1 species